rnacentral:rRNA from 1 species
AGCCCAGAGCCUGAAUCAGUGUGUGUGUUAGUGGAAGCGUCUGGAAAGGCGCGCGAUACAGGGUGACAGCCCCGUACACAAAAAUGCACAUGCUGUGAGCUCGAUGAGUAGGGCGGGACACGUGGUAUCCUGUCUGAAUAUGGGGGGACCAUCCUCCAAGGCUAAAUACUCCUGACUGACCGAUAGUGAACCAGUACCGUGAGGGAAAGGCGAAAAGAACCCCGGCGAGGGGAGUGAAAAAGAACCUGAAACCGUGUACGUACAAGCAGUGGGAGCACGCUUAGGCGUGUGACUGCGUACCUUUUGUAUAAUGGGUCAGCGACUUAUAUUCUGUAGCAAGGUUAACCGAAUAGGGGAGCCGAAGGGAAACCGAGUCUUAACUGGGCGUUAAGUUGCAGGGUAUAGACCCGAAACCCGGUGAUCUAGCCAUGGGCAGGUUGAAGGUUGGGUAACACUAACUGGAGGACCGAACCGACUAAUGUUGAAAAAUUAGCGGAUGACUUGUGGCUGGGGGUGAAAGGCCAAUCAAACCGGGAGAUAGCUGGUUCUCCCCGAAAGCUAUUUAGGUAGCGCCUCGUGAAUUCAUCUCCGGGGGUAGAGCACUGUUUCGGCAAGGGGGUCAUCCCGACUUACCAACCCGAUGCAAACUGCGAAUACCGGAGAAUGUUAUCACGGGAGACACACGGCGGGUGCUAACGUCCGUCGUGAAGAGGGAAACAACCCAGACCGCCAGCUAAGGUCCCAAAGUCAUGGUUAAGUGGGAAACGAUGUGGGAAGGCCCAGACAGCCAGGAUGUUGGCUUAGAAGCAGCCAUCAUUUAAAGAAAGCGUAAUAGCUCACUGGUCGAGUCGGCCUGCGCGGAAGAUGUAACGGGGCUAAACCAUGCACCGAAGCUGCGGCAGCGACGCU